ACAGCCAAAAUGAUGUUUGAAUUUUUUUGUGUUGAUAAGAAUGAAAUGAGGAUAUUGACAGCCAGAGA
ensembl:ncRNA F27D4.9 ncRNA